rnacentral:snoRNA from 1 species
AUGCAUCUAUUUGACAGACCUGAAGCAGCUACUGUCUGCUGCCAAGGUUCCCUCUACAGAGGCAAGAAAAAAUGUCUUCACGCAUUCUGUCUGUCUAAUUGUGGCAGCCGAGAUUGGGCAAAGGAAUAUGGGG